CGAACUUUACUGUUUUUAUUUAUGUUAUUGUUUAUAUUAUUGCUAUUCUCAUAAGACUUCCAAGUCUUUCAUUUAUUUCUAUUGAUGCCUACAUAUAAUAAUUGUUAGUUCUUUAAUUUUCGAAUGGGAUAUUGUACUGCUUUGGAACAAGGAUUUUUGGGCAAGGACAGCCACACUUCAAUUCAACCACCCUCUUCAAGAUGCCAUUUGGUUGAUUAAAUUCAACAUUGAAGAGACAGCUAAAUAGUUUUAGAACCAAGACUUUCCAGAAGGGUAGUCAGAAAAUUUCUUUACCUCAACAUAGACAUCAACAUAGACAUCAGCAUGACAUCG